GUCUUUAUGGAAUUAAUAUAAAGUCUGAUCUGCCCAAUGAUAAGUAAUUUUAAUGGCCGCGGUAUAUUGACCGUGCGAAGGUAGCAUAAUAAUUUGUCCUUUAAUUAAGGACUAGAAUGAAUGAUUGAACAAGAAGGUAACUGUCUCUAAGUUAUAACUUGAAAUUAACAUUUAAGUGAAAAGGCUUAAAUAAGUUAAGGGGACGAUAAGACCCUAUAAAUCUUUAUAUUUGUUUUUAUUAAAUUAAAAAAUAAUAACAAACUUAGUUUAAUGAAUUUAAAUAUUUUGUUGGGGAGACAGAAGUAUAAAUAGUAACUGCUUUAAAAUUUAAGUUAAUAAUGUUUAAUAUAAAGACCCUGUAAUAUAGGUAUUAGUUUAAGUUACUUUAGGGAUAACAGCGUAAUUUUUUUUAAGAGUUCAUAUCGAAAAAAAAGAUUGCGACCUCGAUGUUGAAUUAAAGAUCCUUUGCGGCGUAGGGGCUGUAAUAGGGGGUCUGUUCGACCCUUAAAACUUUACAUGAUUUGAGUUCAGACCGGCGCAAG
rnacentral:rRNA from 1 species